AGAGUUUGAUCAUGGCUCAGGAUGAACGCUAGCGGCAGGCCUAAUACAUGCAAGUCGAGGGGUAAGAGUCAGCUUGCUGACUACACGACCGGCGCACGGGUGCGUAACGCGUAUGCAACCUACCUUUAACAGAGGAAUAGCCCCGAGAAAUCGGGAUUAAUACCACAUAACAUUAUGAUAUGGCAUCAUAUUAUAAUUAAAACUCCGGUGGUUAAAGAUGGGCAUGCGUGACAUUAGCUAGUUGGUGAGGUAACUGCUCACCAAGGCUACGAUGUCUAGGGGUUCUGAGAGGAUGAUCCCCCACACUGGUACUGAGACACGGACCAGACUCCUACGGGAGGCAGCAGUAAGGAAUAUUGCGCAAUGGAGGCAACUCUGACGCAGCCAUGCCGCGUGCAGGAUUGAAGGCCUUAUGGGUCGUAAACUGCUUUUAUUUAGGAAUAAACUUUCGUACGUGUACGAAACUGAAGGUACUAAACGAAUAAGCACCGGCUAACUCCGUGCCAGCAGCCGCGGUAAUACGGAGGGUGCAAGCGUUAUCCGGAUUUAUUGGGUUUAAAGGGUGCGCAGGCGGACCAAUUAGUCAGUGGUGAAAUCCCGAGGCUCAACCUCGGAACUGCCAUUGAUACUGUUGGUCUUGAAUACGGUUGAAGUAGGCGGAAUGUAGCAUGUAGCGGUGAAAUGCAUAGAGAUGCUACAGAACACCGAUCGCGAAGGCAGCUUACUAAAACCGAUAUUGACGCUCAGGCACGAAAGCGUGGGGAGCGAACAGGAUUAGACACCCUGGUAGUCCACGCCGUAAACUAUGAUCACUCGUUGUUGGCAAUACACAGUCAGUGACCAAGCGAAAGCGAUAAGUGAUCCACCUGGGGAGUACGAUCGCAAGGUUGAAACUCAAAGGAAUUGACGGGGGCCCGCACAAGCGGUGGAGCAUGUGGUUUAAUUCGAUGAUACGCGAGGAACCUUACCUGGGCUCAAAUGUAAGUUGACAGUUUCUGAAAGGGAAUUUUCUUCGGACAAUUUACAAGGUGCUGCAUGGUUGUCGUCAGCUCGUGCCGUGAGGUGUCGGGUUAAGUCCCAUAACGAGCGCAACCCCUACUCUUAGUUGCCAUCAGAUAAUGCUGGGGACUCUAGGAGAACUGCCUACGCAAGUAGAGAGGAAGGUGGGGAUGACGUCAAAUCAGCACGGCCCUUACGUCCAGGGCUACACACGUGCUACAAUGGCCGGUACAGAGGGCAGCCACCUGGUGACAGGGAGCGAAUCUCUAAAGCCGGUCUCAGUUCGGAUCGAAGUCUGCAACCCGACUUCGUGAGGCUGGAAUCGCUAGUAAUCGCGCAUCAGCCAUGGCGCGGUGAAUACGUUCCCGGGCCUUGUACACACCGCCCGUCAAGCCAUGGAAGCUGGGGGUACCUGAAGUCGGUGACCAUUUAGGAGCCGCCUAGGGUAAAACUAGUGACUGGGGCUAAGUCGUAACAAGGUA
rnacentral:rRNA from 1 species